GAUUUUAAGAGGAACAAUUAUUAUGGAACGCCAUCAUGAAAACACUAGUCUAACUUAAGAUGCCAGUGGACCUCAGAGAACUGCCCAUGGCACACAGUCUGAGGCCCCUCCAGGCUCCCACCCAACGACCAGGGGAGGAUGGAAGAGGGUGUCUACCAAAAUCAAGUAAACAAAAGAUAAGGACAGGGAAGUAGAAUUCUGUAGUUCGCAAUUCCUCCAAGCAGGGGUUAUUGUUAGAUGUGUAUAAACUUUCAGAAGUAGAUGUCUUAAUGUCAACAUUAACAGAGCAAAAGACUUGAAUUUGUUAAUAUAUCAGUAGGAUUCUUUAGGAAAAUGAUUUUCCUUCCCUAGUCGGACAAAAUCACCGUACAAAUCAAUGAUAUUGUUUUGUUGUCUUAAGACGCUAUUAUUUUGAGAUGGGAAUGAAAAUGGUUGUUUGGAGACUACAAUACAAUUUGAAAGCAUGUGUAUGAAAGGCCUUUGAUAAUGUCAAAAUUAUAAUUUUUUUACCUCAUCAUAAUUGUGAUAUUCUGUUUAUGAUUGUUAAUUAUUCAAUUACUCUGGAUUUCUAUUUUUAUUUUUUUAUGUAAUUCACUGGAAUUUAUUUGAUACAAUUAUUUACAGCAAUUAAUUGAGAAGUGCAUUUAUAGAGGCAGAUAAAAAACUAAAGACAAUGGAAUGAUAUUGUUCCAAGCUCUUGUGACUGUAGAUGGUUUUCCUAGCUAUAUAGAUUAAUAAAUAUUAAAAUAAUUAGGUUACAGAUAACAUAUAUUUAGCAUAAUGGUAACUCAGAAAACUGAAAAAGUUAUAUAUAAUUAGAAAGAAUAUUGUACCAUUUACAUUUUCUACUGGAAUUAUAGAAUGCUUUGUUAAAUCUCCCUGUUUCAUCUACUUGCCUUUAGACACCUAUACUGGCUUAUAGUAAUAAUAAAUCAGUAAAUAGAUAAAUAACUCCAAGAAACAGACAGAGAUCACAUAACAAGCCUCGACAAAUCUCAAAGGUUCAGGCACAGUCCCUUACCUAUAGUAUGUGUGGUAUACAAUGGAACUUCAUAGCCAUGAUCUUUCUGUGAUAUGAAGAAUUUUAUUUUCUAUCCUCUCUUUAUAAGCAGGGUCAUGGAUUUUAAAGAAAGAUCACUGUCAGUGGCAAAGAAAAUUAUUUAUGAUUAUGGUACCAAGAACUUGAAAAUUAAGUGAAAUGAGUGUAGUUAGAAGGAGGGAAUAGGACUCAGCAGAAUAAAGGAAGGAGUAUAGAAGAUCACAGAAAUUCAGGAAAAAUUAAAGAGAAGUUAGUUACCUAUAGUAAUAGCUUUUGCAACUGUUUACAUAAACAAAACAUUUUUAUGCCAUGGUAAGAAUGUCUUGUUGCCUUGUUUUGGUAAUAAAUUAUUGCAUUUAAAUUAAUUGUUAUUGUCACUUGUACACUUUACAUCAUGUCUUGCAUAACUCCAUUCAUUUUAAGAUCCCAAUUUUGUCAUUGGAAUUGAUAUUAAGGAUAUUUUUUCAGAGUAAUUAUCUUGAAAAUAGGUAAAGAGCAAAAUAGACUGAUAGAAAAACAAGUUAUCAUAUUGCCAAAGGAGCAAUCCAUAUGUGUGUCCCAUAGAUUAUUAUUUUACCCUUUUUUAUGUACUUCCAUCAUGACUGAGAGAUUCUUUCACAAAGAUUAACCUGCCUAACUUGUCAUGGUCUAAAGAAUAUCAUUUGCACAUUUAUUUAUCCAAAGGAGGAUGUCAUGAUAGGAUAUGUCACUGAAUAAGGUAGAAACUUUUUAGACUGAGCUUUGGUUAAAUCUUGUAGCCAUUACAGAGAUGCAGUCAGUGUGUUGAUCUAAUAAUCAUCUUCUUUGUGAUGUUUCUAACUUCUUGCAAUUUACUGGAAAUAUCCCACAUUUUCUUAUGGUCUUCAUAUGCUUAUGGCCUUGAGGUUCUGUUUGGUUUACUGUUUUUAUACAAUUAUCAAAUUGAGAAUCAGAGUUUUUUUUCUGGUAUAUUAGCUAUACAUCUCUGGUUGUGAGGGUGGGGUAUAGAUUGAUUUUAAUAAUCUUAAAUUCAAGUAUGAUUAUGAUAUUUGUUUUAUAUACUCUUCUCCAAUAGUGUACAAUGAAUACCACUCUUUUAUUUGCCUCUUUUACUUAAGAAUUAGGUUACAUAUACAUAUGUAUAUCAUUUAUUUGCAGCUUUAAGUUUUCAAAAACAGUAAUAUCAUAUAUUAUUAUUUCUUUGCCUGUUUAGUAAAAGCAUGCCAUUCUUUAUACUAGUAUACUGUGAAAAAUAUUUUCAAUUACACAUUUUGUACUUGUUUAUAUUCUGAUGCUUAAAGUAUGUACCAAAGAUCAUUGAUAAUUGUAUGAUUUGUACAACUUGUGUUGUACAAAUUUUCAUGUAGGUAAUUGCAGGUUUAAAAUACAAAAUAGGGAGUUCUCACCAUUGAAAAGGAUUUAAAGUGCUUCUAUUUAUCAGUAUCUGUAAUCUUUUUUAAUAUAAAUAUUUGUUUUCAUCUUACAGUCAUCAGCAGAGAAUGGAGUGAAAAGGAAGCUUGACAGAAAACCCAUCACUAGGCUGUGGUUUGCAACUGCUUUUUAUUAUUCAUUACAAGAAAACAAAUGGAGAAUAGCAAGUAAGUAGGAUAUGGAAAGAAAAUGUCAAGAUUUUUAGGCAGCUCUAUAGUUCAGUGAAGGAGAUAAUUUGGCAAGGGCAUUGGGAAUGGAGGAAGGUGUAUGUUGAAAAAUAAAUUUACAUAAAAUUG
rnacentral:lncRNA from 1 species